AGUGAACGCUGGCGGUAGGCCUAACACAUGCAAGUCGAACGGCAGCACAGUAACAGCUUGCUCUUACGGGUGGCGAGUGGCGGACGGGUGAGGAAUACAUCGGAAUCUACUUUUUCGUGGGGGAUAACGUAUGGAAACUUACGCCAAUACCGCAUACGACCUACGGGUGAAAGCAGGGGAUCUUCCGACCUUGCGCGAUUGAAUGAGCCGAUGUCGGAUUAGCUAGUUGGCGGGGUAAAGGCCCACCAAGGCGACGAUCCGUAGCUGGUCUGAGAGGAUGAUCAGCCACACUGGAACUGAGACACGGUCCAGACUCCUACGGGAGGCAGCAGUGGGGAAUAUUGGACAAUGGGCGCAAGCCUGAUCCAGCCAUACCGCGUGGGUGAAGAAGGCCUUCGGGUUGUAAAGCCCUUUUGUUGGGAAAGAAAAGCAGCAGGUUAAUACCCCGCCGUUCUGACGGUACCCAAAGAAUAAGCACCGGCUAACUUCGUG
rnacentral:rRNA from 1 species